UUUUGGGGCUAGGGUGGGGUUUAAGGUUUUUGGCAUUAGGGUUAAAAUCACUGUCCAUUAUUUUUUAAGGAACAUGUUACAGACCUUUUGGAGUUGGUUAGACCAAAAAAAAUGAAAAAUGAAAAAAAAAUAUUUGGGGUUUUCGGGCUUCCUGAAGUUAAUACCUGGGUAUUAGUUUAUGGGUCUAUAGUAAGGUUUAAGGUUUUUGGCGUUAGGGUUAAAAUCACUGUCCAAAACCUUUUUUGGAACAUGUUUCAGACCUUUUGGAGUUGGUUACACCAAAAAAAAAUGAAAAAUGAAAAAGAAAUAUUUGGGGUGUUCGGCUUCCUGAAGGUAAUACCCGUAUUAGUUUAUGGGGCUAUGGUAAGGUUUAAGGCUUUUGGCGUUAGGGUUAAAAUCACUGUCCAAUAUUUUUUAAGUAACAUGAUUCAGACGUUUUGGAGUUGGUUUGACCAAAAAAAAAUGAAAAAUGAAAAAAAAAUAUUUGGGGUGUUCGGGCUUCCUGAAGGUAAUACACGGGUAAUAGGUUAUGGGGCUAGGGUAUGGUUUAAGGUUUUUGGCAUUAGGGUUAAAAUCACUGUCCAAAACCUUUUUAGGAACAUGUUUCAGACCUUUUGGAGUUAGUUAGACCAAAAAAUAACGAAAAAUUUAAAAAAAUUUUUGGGGUGUUCGGGCUUCCUGAAGAUAAUACCCGGGUAUUAGGUUAUGGUGCUAGGGUAAGGUUUAAGGUUUUUGGCGUUAGAGUUAAAAUCAGUGUCCAAAACCUUUGUAGGAACUCUUUUCUAACCUGUUGGAGUUAGUUUGACCAAAAAAAAUGAAAAAUGAAAAAAAAUAUAUUUGGGGUUUUCAGGCUUCCUGAAGGUAAUACCCGGGUAUUAGGUUAUGGGGCUAGGGUAAGGUUUAAGGUUUUUGACAUGAGGGUUAAAAUCACUGUCCAAUAUUUUUUAAGGAACAUGUUACAGACUUUUUCGAGUUAGUUAGACCAAAAAAAAAAUGAAAAAUGAAAAAAAAAUAUUUGGGAUUUUCGGGCUUCCUGUAGGUAAUACCCAUAUUAGGUUAUGGGGCUAGGGUAAGGUUUAAGGUUUUUGGCGUUAGGGUUAAAAUCACUGUCCAAUAUUUUUGAAAGAACAUGUUUCAGACCUUUUGGAGUUAGUUACACCAAAAAAAAAAAAGAAAAAUGAAAAAAAUAUAUUUGGGGUGUUCGGGCCUGCUGAAGGUAAUACACGGGUAAUAGGUUAUGGGGCUAGGGUAUGGUUUAAGGUUUUUGGCAUUAGGGUUAAAAUCACUGUCCAAAACCUUUUUAGGAACAUGUUUCAGACCUUUUGGAGUUGGUUACACCAAAAAAAUGUAAAAUGAAAGAAAGGUAUUUGGGAUAUUCGUGCUUCCUGAAGGUAAUACCCGGGUAUUAGGUUAUGGUGCUAGGGUAAGGUUUAAGGUUUUUGGCGUUAGAGUUAAAAUCAGUGUCCAAAACCUUUGUAGGAACUCUUUUCCAACCUUUUGGAGUUAGUUAGACCAAAAAAUAAAGAAAAAAGAAAAAAAAAUAUUUGGGGUUUUCGGGCUUCCUGAAGGUAAUACCCGGGUAAAAGGUUAUGGUGCUAGGGUAAGGUUUAAGGUUUUUGGUGUUAGAGUUAAAAUCACUGUCCAAAACCUUUUUAGGAACAUGUUUCAGACCUUUUGGAGUUAGUAAGACCAAAAAAAAAAUAGAAAAGAAAAACAAAUAUUUGGGGUUUUCGGGCUUUCUGAAGAUAAUACCCGGGUAUUAGGUUAUGGGGCUAGGGUAAGGUUUAAGGUUUUUGGCGUAAGAGUUAAAAUCACUGUCCAAAAACUUUGUAGGAACUCUUUUCCAACCUUUUGGAGUUAGUUAGACCAAAAAAAUGAAAAAUGAAAAAAAAAAUAUUUGGGGUUUUCGGGCUUCCUGAAGGUAAUACCCGGGUAUUAGGUUAUGGGGCUAGGGUAAGGUUUAAAGUUUUUGGCGUUAGAGUUAAAAUCACUGUCCAAUAUUUUUUAAGGAACAUGUUACAGACCUUUUGGAGUUAGUUAGACCAAAAAAAAAAUGAAAAAUGAAAAAAAAAUAUUUGGGAUUUUCGGGCUUCCUGAAGGUAAUACCCAUAUUAGGUUAUGGGGAUAGGGUAAGGUUUAAGGUUUUUGGCGUUAGGGUUAAAAUCACUGUCCAAUAUUUUUGAAAGAACAUGUUUCAGACCUUUUGGAGUUAGUUACACCAAAAAAAAAAGAAAAAUGAAAAAAAAAUAUUUGGGGUUUUCCGGCUUUCUGAAGGUAAUACCCGUAUUAGUUUAUGGGGCUAUUUUUGGCGUUAGGGUUAAAAUCACUGUCCAAUAUUUUUUAAGGAACAUGAUUCAGACGUUUUGGAGUUGGUUUGACCAAAAAAAAAUGAAAAAUGAAAAAAAAUUUUUUGGGGUUUUCGGGCUUCCUGAAGGUAAUAUUAGGUUAUGGGGCUAGGGUAAGGUUUAAAGUUUUUGGCGUUAGAGUUAAAAUCAGUGUCCAAAACCUUUUUAGGAACAUGUUUCAGACCUUUUGGAGUUAGUUAGACCAAAAAAAAAAAAAAUGAAAAAGGAAAAAAAUAUUUAGGGUUUUCGGGCUUCCUGAAGGUAAUACCCGGGUAUUAGGUUUUGGGGCUAGGGUAAGGUUUAAGGUUUUUGGCGUUAGAGUUAAAAUCAGUGUCCAAAACCUUUUUAGGAAAAUUUUUCAGACCUUUUGGAGUUAAUUAGACCAAAAAAAAACGAAAAAUGAAAAAAAAAUAUUUGGGGUUUUCGGGCUUCCUGAAGGUAAUACCCGGGUAUUAGGUUAUGGGGUUUUGGAAAGGUUUAGGUUUUUGGCGUUAGGGUUAAAAUCACUGUCCAAAAUUUUUUAAGGAUCAUGUUUCAGACCUUUUGGAGUUAGUUAGACCAAAAAAAAAAGAAAAAAGAAAAACCUUUUUAGGAACAUGUUUCAGACCUUUUGGAGUUGGUUACACCAAAAAAAAAAUGUAAAAUGAAAGAAAAGUAUUUGGGAUGUUCGGGCUUCCUGAAGGUAAUACCCGGGUAUUAGUUUAUGGUGCUAGGGUAAGUUUUAAGGUUUUUGGCGUUAGAGUUAAAAUCAGUGUCCAAAACCUUUUUAGGAACAUUUUUCAGACCUUUUGGAGUUAGUUAGACCAAAAAAAAACGAAAAAUGAAAAAAAAAUAUUUGGGGUUUUCGGGCUUCCUGAAGGUAAUACCCGGGUAUUAGGUUAUGGGGUUUUGGAAAGGUUUAGGUUUUUGGCGUUAGGGUUAAAAUCACUGUCCAAUAUUUUUUAAGGAUCAUGUUUCAGACCUUUUGGAGUUAGUUAGACCAAAAGAAAAAAAAAGGAAAGAAAAACAAAUAUUUGGGGUUUUCGGGAUUCCUGAAGGUAAUACCCGGGUAUUAGGUUAUGGGGCUAGGGUAAGGUUUAAGGUUUUUGGCGUUCAGGUUAAAAUCACUGUCCAAAACCUUUGUAGGAACUCUUUUCCAAGCUUUUGGAGUUAGUUAGACUAAAACAAAAAAUUAAAAAUUAAAAAAAAAGUAUUUGGGAAUGUUCGGGCUUCCUGAAGGUAAUACCCGGGUAUUAGGUUACGGGGCUAGGGUAAGGUUUAAGGCAGGGGUGUCAAAGUCAAAUGGACGGAGGACCAAAUAAAAAAUUUAGCUACAAGCCGAGGGCCGGACUGAUUGAAUGUUCAUUGAAAAUUUUUUAAAUGACGCAUAUAGUCUAGUGAACCUAAUUGAACCUACUGAAAACCUAACAAAUAUAUUCCAUUAUGAUCAGAUAAAUAAAGCAAUAUUUUCUUAUGGCUCUGUCAGUAAUCUUUAAUUUUCAACAGACACAAAAGACAAAUUUCCUUUAUAUAAAAAUCCCCAUAACAUGAACAUUAAAUGAAAGAAACCGGUAUUAUUCAAGGCACCAUCAGUAUAUUUUCUAUUUUAGCAAAAGUGGGCUAAAUUUACUUCAAAGAAAAAAAUAAUAAUAGCAAUUUUCUAUCAUCCAUUUUUGAACAGAGCCUGUCGAGAUUUGAGGCCUCGUUUUAAUUCCUCGGCCUUCUGUAGCCUUUGUUCCAUGUCCAUAUUCUUGUUUUUGUCCGCGUGUUUCGUUUCAUAAUGUCGUCUCAGAUUAUACUCUUUCAGUACCGCCACACUUUCUCCACACAGAAGACACACAGGUUUUCCAGCUACCUCCGUGAACAUAUACUCCGACUCCCACCUUGUUUGAAACCCCCGGUUCUCAGUGUCCACCUUCCGUUUUGCCAUUUUUGAUGGGUAUCUGAAAGUUAAUUUUACUGUUAUGCUGACGACUGCUGUGCUAAUAAAUAUUGAAAUGAAGCAGCCUACUGCUCAGUGCGUCACCGUUGCAUUGUGGGAAAUGUAGUAUUGGUGCGUGUAAAAGAUCUGCGGGCUGCCGGCUUGCUGCGGUCUGCGGGCCGGUUCUAAUAAUAAAUCAAGAUCAUCCCAGGGGCCGUAAAAAAACCUUCUCACGGGCCGGAUGUGGCCCGCGGGCCUUGACUCUGACAUAUGUGGUUUAAGGUUUUUGGCGUUAGAGUUAAAAUCAGUGUCCAAAACCUUUGUAGGAACUCUUUUCCAACCUUUUGGAGUUAGUUAGACCAAAAAAAAAAAAAAAAAGAAAAAAAUAUUUGGGGUUUUCGGGCUUCCUGAAGGUAAUACCCAGGUAUUAGGUUACGGGGCUAGGGAAAGGUUUAAGGUUUUUGGCAUUAGGGUUAAAAUCAGUGUCCAAAACCUUUGUAGGAACACUUUUCCAACCAUUUGGAGUUAGUUAGACAAAAAAAUAAAGAAAAAAGAAAAAAAAAUAUUUGGGGUUUUCGGGCUUCCUGAAGGUAAUACCUGGGUAUUAGGGUUAUGGGGCUAGGGUAAGGUUUUAGGUUUUUGGCGUUAGGGUUAAAAUCACUGUCCAAAACCUUUGUAGGAACUCUUUUCAAACCUUUUGGCGUUAGACCAAAAAAAAAGGAAAAAUGAAAAAAAAAUAUUUGGGGUGUUCGGGCUUCCUGAAGGUAAUACCUGGGUUUUAGGUUAUGGGUCUAUAGUAAGGUUUAAGGUUUUUGGCGUUAGGGUUAAAAUCCCUGUCCAAAACCUUUUUAGGAACAUGUUUCAGACCUUUUGGAGUUGGUUACACCAAAAAAAAAUGAAAAAUGAAAAAUGAAAAAAAAAUAUUUGGGGUGUUCGGGCUUCCUGAAGGUAAUACCCGUAUUAGUUUAUGGGGCUAUGGUAAGGUUUAAGGUUUUUGGCGUUAGGGUUAAAAUCACUGUCCAAUAUUUUUUAAGGAACAUGAUUCAGACGUUUUGGAGUUGGUUUGACCAAAAAAAAAUGAAAAAUGAAAAAAAAAUAUUUGGGGUUUUCGGGCUUCCUGAAGGUAAUAUUAGGUUAUGGGGCUAGGGUAAGGUUUAAAGUUUUUGGCGUUAGAGUUAAAAUCAGUGUCCAAAACCUUUUUAGGAACAUGUUUCAGACCUUUUGGAGUUAGUAAGACCAAAAAAAAAAAAAAAAAAAAAGAAAAAAAUAUUUAGGGUUUUAGGGCUUCCUGAAGGUAAUACCCGGGUAUUAGGUUAUGGGGUUUUGGAAAGGUUUAGGUUUUUGGCGUUAGGGUUAAAAUCACUGUCCAAUAUUUUUAAGGAUCAUGUUUCAGACCUUUUGGAGUUAGUUAGACCAAAAAAAAGAAAGAAAAGAAAAACAAAUAUUUGGGGUUUUCGGGAUUCCUGAAGGUAAUACCCGGGUAUUAGGUUAUGGGGCUAGGGUAAGUUUUAUGGUUUUUGGCGUUCAGGUUAAAAUCACUGUCCAAAACCUUUGUAGGAACUCUUUUCCAAUCUUUUGGAGUUAGUUAGACUAAAAAAAAAAUGAAAAAUGAAAAAAAAAGUAUUUGGGAUGUUCAGGCUUCCUAAAGGUAAUACCCGGGUAUUAGGUUACGGGGCUAGGGUAAGGUUUAAGGUUUUUGGCGUUAGGGUUAAAAUCAGUGUCCAAAACCUUUUUAGGAACAUUUUUCAGACCUUUUGGAGUUAGUUAGACCAAAAAAAAAACGAAAAAUGAAAAAAAAAAAUUUGGGGUUUUCGGGCUUCCUGAAGGUAAUAC